GAUACAACCAAAGGAAUAACAUACAACAAUCCAAAACUUAAGUGAAACUUAUAUAUACAUUGCUAUCUCAAAAGGAAGUACAACCAUCGAAUGUACAAAGGUUCUCACUUCACCAUACAACCAGCCCGUGCCAAGCACUAGGACGAGAACUAUUACAAAAACAAAGAGCUAGACCAAGCUAGUCUAUACCAAGCUCUCAUCCUUGCGUGCCUUCCCCUGUUAAGGAAAACAAACUAAAGGGGUGAGCUAAAAGCUCAGUGAGAUUCUGUAUACAAAAGCAAGUAAUUGAACAAGGACAUUCAUCAUGUAACAACAAAUAAUCCAGAAAACAUGUCCAAUAUAAAGCAAUGAUAAUACAUUCAUUAAAAGGAUACGGGCUCACAAGGAGCUAUUUGUUCGUUCGUUCGUUCCCUUGACAUUUCCCCUUAUUCCUCCAAUUAUUUGAAAAUUUCCUUUUUGAGAAAUAAAACCCUCGUGCCUGCGUUCGUUCAUUCAUCCCUUUCCGGACGUUGGCCGGAUUCCACCCAUCCGGACGUUGGCCGGACUCCACCCAUCCGGACAUGGCCGGACUACAAGGUAAUACUCGAGUAUACCAAAUUCACUCAGGUCACCAUAUCGCCCGACCGAGUCCGCUUCUGGCUCGAGUCGAUCGGUAACAAGGACAAGGGCCCAGUUCAGCCAAAAGGCUUACAUUCAUGCGCAACUAGUAUUUCAACAUUUAAUCACCAAAAUUUUCAUUUUUAUUUAGGUCGAGUGCGAUAAAGUACACACUCACCUAGCAAAAAUUCAUUUUAGAAAUCAUAGAAAACAAUUAACAUUUAAUCAAAUAUUCACAAAUAAUCACAUAGUCACAACAAUCCUCAUAGUCAUAGAAACAAAACGUAUAUGGAACACUCACCUAUUUAAGCAAAAUAAUGUCCAAAGUAUCCUUCCGGAUAACACUCUCAAUCGCCAAGAAACCCUAAUAAUAGCCAAGAGAAAAUAUUACAGUUAAACCCCUCCAAAGUUUAAGUAAACUAUAGAAAAUCCAAAUAACUAUUAGUACAAAGUAUAAGUAUAAUCUUCUAGUCCUCGAGCGUAAAUUUCGGCAGCAUGCCCUUUGUGUUUACCUAAUUUUCCAGUCAUUUUGGCUUCCUUCUUCUACUCAAUCCAGCCCAAAGUCAUACAUAUCAUAGAUUCAAGUAAAUAGCCAUUCCAUAGGCUCAUAACAACAUAAGAACAAAAAUCAAGUGAUAACAAGUGCGGGAAUGAAGUUACAAAAGACAGAUUUGACGUGUGGUUGCGGAAAGAACACAUCUGAGGCUACGCUUAUCGGAUUAGUAUGUAACUUAUACCGUUUCGAAGCUAAGACCAAGUCCUACAACUUCCAUGAAGAGCACUUAGUCAAAUUUUCAGGGUAACCUAAUCAAAUUCCCAGUUCAUAUAACCUGGUUCCAACUAUUAUGCUAAUCAACCGUACUGAAUUCAAAUGACCAUAUCUCAGUCUACCAAGGUCCAUUUGAGACGUUCUUGGUAGCGUUGAAAAGCUAAGACAAGGUAAUAAAACUUUCAUGUUUUGGAAAAAGGCUAAAUCAGUACGGAUCCUAGUGAAUAAACAUGAUAAACUGGAUAAACUGACCAAACGGACUAUUGGAAAAAACCUUAAAAUAGUGAGGGUAUUUUGGUCUUUUCACAGGCUACAUUGCUCCGAUUGAUCUGAAAUUUUAUAGGCACCUAUAAAAUAUCAUUCUCUACAACUUUCAUGUUUUAUGCCAAGCCCAAUUCGGCCUCUAACAUGGUGCAACAAAAACGGACAGAAGUGAAACAUGAAAUUCCAGAAAUCUGGAAAUUUUGGUUUUCAAUUGAACUCUCUUCAAUUCCUUGUUCCAAUCACUACCAAAGCCCCUUGUAUAAUCUUAUUUUCAACAUAUAGUAACCAUAUAGCAAGUUUGGGCAGAAAUGUAUCAAAUCCUAACUCACUUAUAUCAUCUAAAAAACAUCACAACAACUUGUAUAACUUGUAAUCUAACCCAAAACAUGAACUAUUUAACAUCUUAAACAAGAGUAAAAUGAUCAAAGCCAUAGAUCAGAUUUUAUACCUCAAAAAAGAAGGCUUGCAAGAGUGAUCCUCUACUAUUUCUUGAAGUUUUUGGUUCCCUUAGCUUCCCAAGCUUCCAAACUUACAAUCAAUCGGUUUAGAAUUCGAUUUUAGCACUUGGUUGGUGUAAAUCAAGAAGAAAUUUGUUUUCUCUUGCUCUCCCUUUCUCCCUCUCUUGCUCAGCCAAGAU
rnacentral:lncRNA from 1 species